rnacentral:rRNA from 1 species
AUUGAACGCUGGCGGCAUGCCUUACACAUGCAAGUCGAACGGCAGCACGGGAGCAAUCCUGGUGGCGAGUGGCGAACGGGUGAGUAAUAUAUCGGAACGUGCCCAGUCGUGGGGGAUAACGUAGCGAAAGCUACGCUAAUACCGCAUACGAUCUAUGGAUGAAAGCGGGGGAUCGCAAGACCUCGCGCGAUUGGAGCGGCCGAUAUCAGAUUAGGUAGUUGGUGAGGUAAAGGCUCACCAAGCCGACGAUUUGUAGCUGGUCUGAGAGGACGACCAGCCACACUGGGACUGGGACACGGCCCAGACUCCUACGGGAGGCAGCAGUGGGGAAUUUUGGACAAUGGGCGCAAGCCUGAUCCAGCAAUGCCGCGUGCAGGAUGAAGGCCUUCGGGUUGUAAACUGCUUUUGUACGGAACGAAACGGUGAGCUCUAAUACAGUUUGCUAAUGACGGUACCGUAAGAAUAAGCACCGGCUAACUACGUGCCAGCAGCCGCCGUAA